ensembl:snRNA U1 U1 spliceosomal RNA
AUAAUUACCUGGCAGGGGAGAUACCAUGAUCACAAAGGGGUUUUUCCCAGGGCGAGGCUUAUCCAUUGCACUCCGGAUGUGCUGACCCCUGCGAUUUCCCCAAAUGCGGGAAACUCGACUCCAGAAUUUGUGGUACUGGGGGACUGCGUUCGCACUUUCCUCUG